rnacentral:rRNA from 1 species
UGGGGAAUUUUGGACAAUGGGCGAAAGCCUGAUCCAGUAAUGCCGCGUGUGUGAAGAAGGCCUUCGGGUUGUAAAGCACUUUUGUCCGGAAAGAAAUCCUUGGCUCUAAUACAGUCGGGGGAUGACGGUACCGGAAGAAUAAGCACCGGCUAACUACGUGCCAGCAGCCGCGGUAAUACGUAGGGUGCAAGCGUUAAUCGGAAUUACUGGGCGUAAAGCGUGCGCAGGCGGUUUGCUAAGACCGAUGUGAAAUCCCCGGGCUCAACCUGGGAACUGCAUUGGUGACUGGCAGGCUAGAGUAUGGCAGAGGGGGGUAGAAUUCCACGUGUAGCAGUGAAAUGCGUAGAGAUGUGGAGGAAUACCGAUGGCGAAGGCAGCCCCCCUGGGCCAAUACUGACGCUCAUGCACGAAAGCGUGGGGAGCAAACAGGAUUAGAUACCCUGGUAGUCCACGCCCUAAAACGAUGUCAACUAGUUGUUGGGGGAUUCAUUUCCUUAGUAACGUAGCUAACGCGUGAAGUUGACCGCCUGGGGGAGUACGGUCGCAAGAUUAAAAACUUAAAGGAAUUGACGGGGUCAUAGCUGUUUCCU